rnacentral:misc_RNA from 1 species
UCCGGUUUGGCACCGGCAGUCUCUCUAGAGUGCCCGGCUUUACCCGCUGGUAACUAAGGACAGGGGUUGCGCUCGUUGCGCCACUUAAGGCAACACCUCACGGCACGAGCUGACGACAGCCAUGCAGCACCUGUGGUGCACCCUCGAAGGUCACACGUUUCCGUGCGCUUGCAGCACCAUGUCAAGCCCAGGUAAGGUUCUUCGCGUUGCAUCGAAUUAAAGAACAUGCUCCGCUGCUUGUGCGGGCCCCCGUCAAUUCUUUUGAGUUUUAGCCUUGCGGCCGUACUCCCCAGGCGGAACACUUAACGCGUUGGCUGCGGCACAGGAGGAUUCGACUCCCCCCACACCUAGCACUCAACGUUUACGGCUGGGACUAC